rnacentral:rRNA from 1 species
UACGUAGGGCGCAAGCGUUUGUCCGGAAUUAUUGGGCGUAAAGAGCUCGUAGGCGGUUUGUCGCGUCUGCUGUGAAAACCUAAGGCUCAACCUUGGGCUUGCAGUGGGUACGGGCAGACUAGAGUGCGGUAGGGGUGACUGGAAUUCCUGGUGUAGCGGUGGAAUGCGCAGAUAUCAGGAGGGAACACCGGUGGCGGAAGGCGGGUCUCUGGGCCGAUACUGACGCUGGAGGAGCGAAAAGCGUGGGGAGCGAACAGG